GAUGAGAUGAUGCUCGGAGCAGAAUCGGGUUCGGUGAGACAUCUGACCUCUUGUGAUCACCUCGUUGCUUCCUUGUCGACUGAUCUUGCUCGCAUACCAAAUCCCGAUACACCCUGCAACAGGUUAGCCAAACCCUUUAAACACGGCAAUUUAAAUAAUUCAUCUUUGCUUGAUUUCAUUUCAUUGAAAUUGGAGAAAUUCAUCAUGCAAUUAUAAUAUAGAAAAAAGUGGGGGAAAAUGGAAACUUGAUAUAUUUAUUGUCAAAUCUUGAGUCCAACUAAUGUGUGAUCAGUAUUGGUUGCCGCAUGUAAGUUAUUCAUUUUACAACACUAGCAAUGAGUAACACAAUGAAGAUGCUCGCGUAACCUGCGGAGUGAUUUGCAUGUAUGAAGGUGCCAACACCCGAGGGGAAACUGGCUAUGUUUGUGUUGCAAGGAAGUGCUUUGCAGCCGUUAUGUGAACAAGCACAUGCUUCAGCAUUACCAGGAAACAAACCAUUCUGUAGCAUUAGGCUAUAGGUAUGACCAUGAACUUUGAUCGUUGUUGUAUUUUCCCAUGUGUAUGUCUCAUUGAUUCUGUUUGAAUUGGAAGGGUAUUCUUAACUAUUAUAUAUUGUGAUUUAUAAACACCUUGUUUUUGGCUAAGCAGUGACCUGUCAGUUUGGUGUUUCGCCUGCCAUGCAUAUUUAAAUGCUCAAGCGAUUCUGCAACUGCGACCUGUUCAUGAGACGUCUUACGUUCUGAAAUUUGGUGAAACCCUCCCUUUUAAUACGGGACAGCAUCCUGAGGUUAAAGAGGACGACGAGAUGAUGCUCGGAGCAGAAUCGGGUUGGGUGAGACAUCUGACCUCUUGUGAUCACCUCGUUGCUUCCUUGUCGACUGAUCUCGCUCGCAUACCAAAUCCCGAUACACCCUGCAACAGGUAAGCCCUUUAAACACGUCAAUUUUAAUAUUUUAUUUUUGCUUGAUUUCAUUUUCAUGCAAAUUCGAGAAAUUCAUCGUAUAAUUAUAAUAUAUAAUUAUAAUAUAGAAAAAGAGGGAGGGAAAAUAUAAACUGGGUAUAUUUAUUGUCAAAUCUUGAGUCCAACUAAUGUGUCAUAACUAUUGGUUGCCGCAUGUAAGUUAUUUAUUUUACAACACAAGCAAUGAGUAACGCAGUGAUGAUGCUCACGUAACCUGUGGAGUGAUUUGCAUGUAUGAAGGUGCCAACACCCGAGGGGAAACUGGCUAUGUUUGUGUUGCAAGGAAGUGCUUUGCAGCCGUUAUGUGAACAAGCACAUGCUUCGGCAUUACCGGGAAAAAAACCAUUCUGUAGCAUUAGGCUAUAGGUAUGACCAUGAACUUUGAUCAUUGUUGUAUUUUCCCAUGUUUAUCUCUCGUUGAUUAUGUUUGAAUUGGAAGGGUGUUCUUAACUUUUAUAUAUUGUGAUUUAUAAAUACCUUAUUUUUGGCUAAGCAGUGACCUGUCAGUUUGGUGUUUCGCCUGCGAUGCAUAUUUAAAUGCUCAACCGAUUCUGCAACUGCGACCUGUUCAUGAGACAUCUUACGUUCUGAAAUUUGGUCGGGCCCUCCCUUUUAAUACGGGACAGCAUCCUAAGGUUAAAGAGGACGAUGAGAUGAUGUUCGGAGCGGAAUCGGGUUGGGUGAGACAUCUGACCUCUUGUGAUCACCUCAUUGCUUCCUUGUCGUCUGAUCUUGCUCGCAUACCAAAUCCCGAUACACCCUGCAACAGGUUAGCCAAACCCUUUAAACACGGCAAUUUAAAUAAUUCAUCUUUGCUUGAUUUCAUUUCAUUGAAAUUGGAGAAAUUCAUCAUGCAAUUAUAAUAUAGAAAAAAGGGGGGGAAAAUGGAAACUUGAUAUAUUUAUUGUCAAAUCUUGAGUCCAACUAAUGUGUGAUCAGUAUUGGUUGCCGCAUGUAAGUUAUUCAUUUUACAACACUAGCAAUGAGUAACACAAUGAAGAUGCUCGCGUAACCUGCGGAGUGAUUUGCAUGUAUGAAGGUGCCAACACCCGAGGGGAAACUGGCUAUGUUUGUGUUGCAAGGAAGUGCUUUGCAGCCGUUAUGUGAACAAGCACAUGCUUCAGCAUUACCAGGAAACAAACCAUUCUGUAGCAUUAGGCUAUAGGUAUGACUAUGAACUUUGAUCGUUAUUGUAUUUUGCCAUGUGUAUGUCUCAUUGAUUAUGUUUGAAUUGGAAGGGUGUUCUUAACUUUUAUAUAUUGUGAUUUGUAAACACCUUGUUUUUGGCUAAGCAGUGACCUGUCAGUUUGGUGUUUCGCCUGCCAUGCAUAUUUAAAUGCUCAAGCGAUUCUGCAACUGCAACCUGUUCAUGAGACUGCUUACGUUCUGAAAUUUGGUCGGGCCCUCCCUUUCCUUAUGGGAGAGCAUCCUAAGGUUUAAGAUCAGUGGACUGCUGGUACAUGAUUAGAUAGUUAAAAUGAUAGCUUUGAUCACAUGGUUAGUUUAAAUGAUAGCUUUCGUCACGGGGUUUUGUUCUUCUCUAACCUUUAAAUGAUGUUAGUUUGGGGAUGAUUUCUGUUUUAACUAAUUGUGGUGUAUUUGGUAUCUGCUUUCCUAAUUGUAACGCAAACUCGGAACUGUUACUUGGUUUGAUUCUGGAUGACGGUAUGCGCAUGGGUGAAUUUCUAGUCUUUUUUUUUUUUUUUUACAGUGAAAAUUCUGCCAAAUCUGAUUGCAUAAUUGACAAAUUAUAGUAAACAAUUACUCUAGGCCUACUUCCCAAUCAAAUGCUAAGCAAAAUGCAUUCUAAAUCAAUGACAAAACAUGUUAUAGCUUUCAUUCAACUUAUCUUCAAUAUUUUCACUACAAUACCUACAUAAGCGGUCUUGUAAAACUGAUAAUUCAAAGUAACGCAAAAAUGCUUUCCCAAUUGUUUCUUAGAGAAUGACACCCAACACAAUCAAUGGGAUAUAAUAUCACCUCUUUAAAUUUCACUGACAAUAAGUUGUAUUUCUUUGAUUCACGUACGAAUAAUAAAUACAAAAUAAUAUUACUAGCAAUGAGUUUUGUAUUCCAGAUUUUUAUGCAUUUGGUACUUGGCUACUUCAACAUAUCUGGUCGGCUGAAUCUGUAGUUCCUUGUAGAUCACAUGCACGUUGCUCGCACUCCAGCUUGCCCCACCUUGCAUCUACUCGUUCACAAGGGAACACCAAUUUGCCAAGGCUGUUUAAAUAACCAAAUUGCUAAAGCAUAAUAAAGUGAUUCGGUUAUAAUAUAUGGUGUGCCAUAGACCCUAAACAAGAGAACCACAACUUCCUCAGCAGAGAAAAGAGACAAUUAAUAUUACCUUCUAUUAACCACAUUAUGCACAUGACAAAGCCACUGAGAGAACUCAUCAUGAGAUUCAGCUUGCACAGGAUUUGCUCUAUCAAACAUUAACAAGAAUACAUCCAUCAGUAAAGGAUACAUUGUGUUCAGUACAAAGUACAAACGGUUAUUUGGUAGCCAUAUGGACAGAACACUAAAGUUUCACUUUCUUCCAGCAUUUUUAAGCAUAUAACCAUGUAACAGUGUAAUGAUAAUAAAAUCCAUGUAACUGGAUAUUAAGAAAAUUUUUCAGUUUAAGUACUUAAGAUUUGUAAUUUUUUUUUGGGAGGGGGGGUGGGGGAACUUAGGUUAGUCUCAUGUCAAUUCAAGUACUCUUCCUAUCUUCUUUCAUCAGACUUUUUUCCUAAGAAAUAAUCAAUUUGCAGUAGCAGUGGUACUUUAAUUAAACAUCUAUUACUGACAUUUACAGUUAUAUAAACUAUUUUUCUUUGUAUAUUAAACUAAAUUGCACAUGGUUAAUAGAAUGUACACAAAGUUUGAGUCCGCUUAUGAUUUAAGUAAACAGCUUGAGCUACACCCUUAAUUAAGGGGAGGAAUGGGAAUAACGGUAUAUGUCAUCCACCAUCAGCCAGCAAAGCACUGCCAUUAUUGCAUUAGAAAGAAAAUGGACUAGCAUCUAAAGAAAGGAAAGCCCACCACCAGAUAGAGGGAGUUGGAGAAGAAAUAUAGUGUACCUCAAGACUUCUUUAAAGUGCAUCCGAGAUAAUAUCGCCAUCUGCAAGUCAAAUAGGAUCCUUAAGGUUAGUAGCCAAUAAGGUAAAUGAGUUUAUUCUACUAUAAAUUCCAGUUUCGGGUUACAAAUUAGUGUCAAGUCUACAAACCAAAACCACAUAAGCUGGAUAAAUUCUGGGUAGUUAAGAUGUACAGAAAGGAAAUUUUAAGGAUUUGUGUUCAACUAAAAUAUGCGUACUUGUGAAUGACAUUUCAGUUUAAGAGAGUCAGACAGCAUCGUACCGGUUCUUUUACAUCUUUCUUUUGUUGCCUUGUUGGAUUUUCUGGAUAUUGAGAACAAAAUAAUCAAGAUUCAAGCAGCCCAAACUAGAGAAAUGUAAAACCAAAAAAAGAAAUAUAAACAAAGCAGGAUGAGGAGAACCAACAGAAAAGAAAUAAAAGCACUGGUAAUGAGAUGACCUGAGAAGCAAGUGUUUGAGAGAUGUCCAAGUGGCUCUUCCAAGCUCGUCUUUAGUUACAGGAGCAGAAGUCCCCUGAAAAUAGCAAUAACAGUUUACUCAAGCAUGUUAAAAGUUCCCAAAUGACCCAUGAGAGUACUGGACGCACCAAGCUAAUAUAAGUCCCUAAAAGUAUUUGCAAUUUAGCACAAGCUGAGAUUCAAAAUUCUACUGCAUUUUGUUUCUAAAGAAUGUUUCUACAAGAAUGUCACCAUGUCAUCGUCAUAAGAAAAUGACAACCAAAUAUGCCCACUACCUUCAAGUCUAUUUUAUUCAAAAGAACAGCGAUGAAGAACUAAAUGGCAAGAAACACAGCGAAUGCCCUUCUUUUCUUUUAUUCUUGCUCCUGUUCUUUGUCUAUUGCCACACUAUAUUAUAUGUAACAAAAGAAAUAAACACAAUGAAAUCUCAUUCAAUGCAGCAUCAAUUUCAUAAAAAAAUCAUAUAAAUUCAAGGAUAAUUUUCCAGUCAGGACUUAUCUCAAAAUAUCCAUACCCUUUACUCAAAAUCUACAAUAUAAAAAAUUAGCACCCAUGAUGUUAAUCUACACUUAACAAUAAGAAACAAAUUUGAAUCUUCAAUUAUUCUGGGAUAUCAACAUAAUCAGGGGUAUAAAAUCAUUCCAAUUUCUCAUUAUCCAAUAUUAAAUCAGCAAUCAAAAACAGUAAAAUUAGAAGUUAAAAACUUUCGACUUACCAAGCGCGAGAACCGGGCCCAUAAGUCCUGGGGUGAGAGUUCCAAACGUUGGAGUGACCCAUGAUUGAUUGUUUUCUUCUUCUUUAGCAAAAGACAAAAGCCGGUUCGCUUAAGCUUGGAUAAAACCCUAGAAUCUGCUGAGGAAUUAUAACGAUUAACGAACGAAGAAAAGCGUGUAUUUAUACUACGCAAUUUUAAACCCUGGAUUUCUGUAGCCGGUGCGUUUUACGCAUGCCUCCGCAUAAGCUUACUGACAUGGAUUUUAAUUGUAAUUUGGGCUUGGGCGGGACCUGACCUAAAUUGUUGGACAUGUAUGAUACUAUUAUCGGAUCCCAAAUUAAUCAUGCUCUCGUAAAAAUAUUUUUGUCUAAUUACAUAAAGCCAGCUGGAAAAUUAUGAUUUUUUAUUCACAACUUUUGAAAAAAUGAAAAAUUAAAUUGCACGAUGCAGAACUCCACCCGGUAGAAGGCAGCUGAACAGUCGUGACUCUCUAAAAGCCUUGCCAAAUCCUCAAACUUGAAAAUCUCGGUCGACUCGUUAUGGCGACCUCUUCCUCAACACUGCCGGUAAGGAAUUCUCAUUGCCAAUGAUCAAAACGUCACCGUUUUCGAAUUUUUUUUUUUUUUUUUUUUGGGUCUGAAAUCGUUUGUCUCAGGAAAACGGACCCGUAGAGGAGGAUGAGAUGAUGUUCGGAGCGGAAUCGGGUUGGGUAGAACCUCUGACCUCUUGUGAUCACCUCGCUACUUCCUUGUCGUCUGAUCUCGCUCACAUACCAACUCCCGAUACACCUUGCAACAGGUUAGCCAAACACUCUAAACACAUCAAUUUAAAUAAUUCAUUUUUGCUUGAUUUCAUUUCAUAGAAAUUGGAGAAAUUCAUCAUAUAUCAUAUAAUUAUAAUAUAAAAAGGGGGGGGGGGGGGAGGAAAUAGAAACUUGAUAUAUUUAUUGUCAAAUCUUGAGUCCCAAUUAAUGUGUCAUAACUAUUGGUUGUCGCAUGUAAGCUAUUUAUUUUACAACACAAGCAAUGAGUAACAC
rnacentral:lncRNA from 1 species